rnacentral:rRNA from 1 species
AGCGGGGCCCAUCCCGUAAGGCUAAAUACUCCCGAGAGACCGAUAGCGAACCAGUACUGUGAAGGAAAGGUGAAAAGCACCUCGAACAGAGGAGUGAAAUAGUCCCUGAAACCGUCUGCCUACAAGCGGUCGGAGCAACGUAAGUUGUGACGGCGUGCCUUUUGCAUAAUGAACCUACGAGUUACUUUCUCCGGCAAGGUUAAGGGCUUCAGGCCCGGAGCCGAAGCGAAAGCGAGUCUUAAUAGGGCGUGAUAGUCGGAGUGAGUAGACGCGAAACCAAGUGAUCUACCCUUGGUCAGGAUGAAGGUUGGGUAACACCAACUGGAGGUCCGAAUGGGUAUACGUUGAAAAGUGUUCCAAUGAACUGAGGGUAGGGGUGAAAGGCUAAUCAAACUUGGAGAUAGCUCGUACUCCCCGAAAUGCAUUUAGGUGCAGCCUUUAUUUAGUAUAGCAUGAGGUAGAGCGACUGAUUGGAUGCGAGGGCUUCACCGCCUAUCAAGUCCAGAUAAACUCCGAAUGCGUGCUAUAUAUUGAUAAGGAGUGAGGGCGCGGGUGCUAAGGUCCGUGUCCGAGAGGAGAAGAAUCCAGACCAUCAGCUAAGGUCCCCAAAUAACAGUUAAGUUGAACUAACGAAGUCGGACUGCAGAGACAGCUAGGAUGUUGGCUUGGAAGCAGCCAUUCAUUUAAAGAGUGCGUAACAGCUCACUAGUCGAGGAGUCCGGCGUGGAUAAUACUCGGGCAUAAACUGUUUACCGAAGCUAUGGAUGUAGAAAUACAUGGUAGGGGAGCAUUCCAACGGCGUCGAAGGUGAAGGAUGACCUUUGCUGGAGCUUUUGGAAACGCAAAUGUAGGUAUAAGUAACGAUAAAGGAGGUGAGAAACCUCCUCGCCGAAAGACUAAGGUUUCCUGAUCAACGCUAAUCGGAUCAGGGUAAGUCGGGACCUAAGGUUAAGCCGAACGGCGAUACCGAUGGAAGAAUGGUUUAAUAUUCCCAUACUACUUUAUGGAGCGAUGUGGAGACGGAGAAGUGAAAGUCCUGCCAUCUGACGGAAUAGGUGGUUGAAGAGUGUAGAUGUAGAUUCCUGUAGGCAAAUCCGCAGGGAGAGUCGACCUUGACAGUAUGCCGCGUGCUUGCACAAGGCAAAAUGGACGUAAUCAGGCUCCCAAGAAAAUCCGCUAAGCAUAUUCAUAAAGUACCCGUACCGUAAACGGACACACGUAGUUGGGUUGAAAAUACUGAGGCGCUCGAGUGAUUCACGGUUAAGGAACUAGGCAAAUUGACCCUGUAACUUCGGGAUAAAGGGUCCCUACUGAGAGGUAGGGCGCAGAGAAUAGGUCCAGGCAACUGUUUAACAAAAACACAUGGCUGUGCGAAAUAGAAAUAUGAAGUAUACAGCCUGACACCUGCCCGGUGCUGGAAGGUUAAGAGGAGAGCUCAUCGCAAGAGAAGGCUUGAAUUGAAGCCCCAGUAAACGGCGGCCGUAACUAUAACGGUCCUAAGGUAGCGAAAUUCCUUGUCGGGUAAGUUC